rnacentral:rRNA from 1 species
AAGCUCGUAGUUGAAUUUCGGGAUCAAUGUCUCGGUCAUGCCGUUGGUAUGUACUGAUAUUAUUGGUUUCUCACCUUCUAAAGAACCGUAAUGCCAUUAAUUUGGUGUCACGGGGAAUUAGGACUGUUACCUUGAAAAAAUUAGAGUGUUUAAAGCAGGCUCACGCUUGAAUACAUUAGCAUGGAAUAAUGAAAUAGGACAUCCGAUUCUAUUUUGUUGGUUUCUAGGAUCGAUGUAAUGAUUAAUAGGGAUAGUUGGG